UUACCGUUCAGACGACAAAAUAACCAAACCAGUACAUAUCGCUCUCAAUCAAAUGUCUCAAAGAAAAAUACAGUCGAGCAAUCUCGUUUAUUAUUCUGAAUAAAGAUUCCGAAGCUGUACACGGAAUAAAAGUUAAAUACAAAUUUAUGACGAGCGCAAAAACCGGGUAUGAUAAAACAAUUAUGACCGAAUAAACGGGCGUGACAACCGGUUCUUGUAUUAUAUAAUUGUGCUCGCGCUGUGUUCAAUGCCACUCAGCACGUAAUUUGCGGCGGCUCGCCCGAGCAAUUAUAACCUGAACCGGUUAAAAGUUGCCAGUUUAAAUAUUUUUGUAAUUCUAAAAAGGUCGUUUUUAAAGGGGGAAGAGGUCGACCGAAGAAGACAUGGAUGGAGUGUGUGAAUGACAAUAUGAGAGAGAAAGGAGUGAGUGUUGAGCUGAUGGCUGACAGAAGAGAAUGGAAGGGAAAAAGAAAAAGAAGAAGAAUACGUUUUAGGAAAUAAGCCACGGAUUUGGUAAUUUUUAUUCUAUAUAAUUUUAGACAAGUACACGGCUAACCUAUGACUUAGUGCUUAGGUAUAGAGGUUAUAGACAUCGCAAUGGCAAUUGGAAGAUACCAUAAUUGUUAUAAAUUAUAUUAAUUGUUUUUCAAAUAAAUUGCGUUUAUAUUU